UCUGGUUCCAUCUCCCCACGGCCUCAUCUCCACUGGGAUGGUUGAUCUGGCUUGCAUUGUCCACGGAGUCUCCAACCCAGUCCAAAUUUCCUGGAAUAUUUCUGGGGAUCGGCAGGAACAGGCACUAAUGCAAUUACUGAAAGCAAAGGAUGGAUCCUUAAUGCUCAUAAGUCACAUUAGCAUCCCAAAAGACACCUGGACCAAUGUGAAAAUUUUCACAUGUGAAGUCAAAUUCAACUCUUCUGGCAACAGAGUUAAGAAAAGUGCCAGGUAUUUUGAACUCCAUCCCAGCGGGUGUGUGCCGCAGAUAUUGCACCACGUGGUGGCAGUUUUCCUGGUGGGGUUGAUGGUGUCCCUGAGUCUGGCUUGGAUUCGCUGCUGUUCCAGUCCAGGCUCAAAGGGUUUAUGCCCGAAUGAAGUUUCAGUCAAGGAAUCACAACCAGAUCAGGAUGCAGUGGCUGAUGGACGAGAAAAAUCCUAACCCACCCUGAGAUCCGAGCCUGGAAACUCUCAGCUGGUUCGCUGCUGACCUCAACGACGGCAGCCAUUUUGUGUGUUACCAGUGGCACAAGGAGGACCAGAAAAACCCAGAUGCAGAACCAGGCUUGGCCCCCUGACGCACACAGCAGAUGGAAGGGACAGAACCAGACAGAAGUGGGUGGAGGCUGCUUCCUAGGAGCUGCCAUCAGCAGGACCGUGCCGCCUGGCCAGCAGUAUCGUUCCAUGGUGUGAGGGGAGAUUAUAAAUGGGAAACUGUGUCUGGACGGAGCUGUGUGAGGUCAGGCUCUCUCCGCAUCCCUGUCCUGGAGCAGCUACUCCAACGAAUUCCUUGGGAGACUGCUGCUUUUCCUGAAGGGGUCGAUCCACAGGGCCUCGUGCCAGCACCCGUCUGUCUUCUCUCAGUAACAAUGCUUUAUCAAUGGGAGGGGCUCCCCCAACCACGGAGCCUGCACAU